rnacentral:rRNA from 1 species
UAGGGAAUCUUCGGCAAUGGACGAAAGUCUGACCGAGCAACGCCGCGUGAGUGAAGAAGGUUUUCGGAUCGUAAAACUCUGUUGUUAGAGAAGAACAAGGACGUUAGUAACUGAACGUCCCCUGACGGUAUCUAACCAGAAAGCCACGGCUAACUACGUGCCAGCAGCCGCGGUAAUACGUAGGUGGCAAGCGUUGUCCGGAUUUAUUGGGCGUAAAGCGAGCGCAGGCGGUUUCUUAAGUCUGAUGUGAAAGCCCCCGGCUCAACCGGGGAGGGUCAUUGGAAAAGGGGAGACUAGAGUGCAGAAGAGGAGAGUGGAAUUCCAUGUGUAGCGGUGAAAUGCGUAGAUAUAUGGAGGAACACCAGUGGCGAAGGCGGCUCUCUGGUCUGUAACUGACGCUGAGGCUCGAAAGCGUGGGGAGCAAACAGG